UACAGAGGUCUCAAGCGUUGUUCGGAUUCAUUGGGCGUAAAGGGUGCGUAGGUGGCGCUGUAAGUCGGGUGUGAAAUUUCUGAGCUUAACUCCGAAACUGCAUUCGAUACUGCGGUGCUUGAGGACUGGAGAGGAGACUGGAAUUCAUGGUGUAGCAGUGAAAUGCGUAGAGAUCAUGAGGAAGACCAGUGGCGAAGGCGGGUCUCUGGACAGUUCCUGACACUGAGGCACGAAGGCCCAGGGGAGCAAACGGG
rnacentral:rRNA from 1 species